rnacentral:rRNA from 1 species
UACAGAGAGUGCGAGCGUUAAUCGGAAUUACUGGGCGUAAAGCGCACGUAGGUGGAUGCUUAAGUCAGGUGUGAAAUCCCCGAGCUUAACUUGGGAAUUGCAUUUGAUACUGGGCGUCUUGAAUAUAGUAGAGGGAAGUGGAAUUUCCGGUGUAGCGGUGAAAUGCGUAGAUAUCGGAAAGAACAUCAGUGGCGAAAGCGGCUUCCUGGACUAAUAUUGACACUUAGGUGCGAAAGCGUGGGGAGCAAACAGG